rnacentral:pre_miRNA from 1 species
GGAAAGGAUGCCCUUCUCUUCCCGGUUCUUCCCGAAGUCGGGAAAAGCUGGGUUGAGAGGGCGAAAAAAAGAAAAA